rnacentral:rRNA from 1 species
AGAAUCAACGCUGGCGGCGUGCCUAACACAUGCAAGUCGCACGGGAAAGUGGAGCAAUCCACGAGUAAAGUGGCGCACGGGUGAGUAACACGUGAAUAAUCUACCUCCGAGUGGGGAAUAACUGAGAGAAAUCUUAGCUAAUACCGCAUAAUACCCACGGGUCAAAGCAGCAAUGCGCUUGGAGAGGAGUUCGCGGCCGAUUAGCUAGUUGGCGGGGUAAUGGCCCACCAAGGCGAUGAUCGGUA